rnacentral:rRNA from 1 species
AGGACUAACGCUGGCGGCGUGCCUAACACAUGCAAGUCGAACGGGGUAGCAAUACCCAGUGGCAGACGGGUGAGUAACACGUGGUCAACCUACCUCUGUGUGGGGGAUAACUAGCCGAAAGGUUAGCUAAUACCGCAUACGAUCGUUUUGAGGCAUCUCGAGACGAUGAAAGGAGCAAUCCGCACGGAGAGGGGACUGCGUCCCAUUAGUUAGUUGGUGGGGUAACGGCCUACCAAGACUCCGAUGGGUAGCUGGCUUGAGAGAGCGACCAGCCACACUGGAACUGAGAAACGGUCCAGACUCCUACGGGAGGCAGCAGUGAGGAAUUUUCCGCAAUGGGCGAAAGCCUGACGGAGCGACGCCGCGUGUGGGAUGAAGGCCUUCGGGUCGUAAACCACUGUCGAAGGGGACGAUAAUGACGGUACCCUUGGAGGAAGCCCCGGCUAACUACGUGCCAACAGCCGC